rnacentral:lncRNA from 1 species
AAAAUUGUUAAGACAAUUAAAUUAAACUAUUCUACAUAUUCUAUAUUCGAAAAAGUGAAUAUAAAAGAGCAACAUUGGCCACAUAAGGUACCAUAGAGCAAAAAGUGAACAUAGAAAACAAUCGACAGAAUUCACAUAUAAUAAUAUUGUCGUUGCUACAAUUAAACCAACAAGGUUUGCUAAAUCGCUAUCCAAAACACAGCUAAGAAAGAUAAAUAUAAAGAGAGAGAAAAUAAACAUUUCUUUCUUGAUUUACAUAGACAAAUCAAGCAGGUAAAUUAUGUUGAGAGUUGAAGACUGCUGAUGUAAAUUUAUACCACGAACUACUAUAAACAUGAUUGGCCAACUUGAGAGUGGCAGGUAAGUCCAAAUUUGAAUCCUACAUGAAAAAAAGAAUGUUAAUUGAUAGUAAGCUAACAAAAUCUUAUUAAUGAAAAUUGACUUACAAGUGAAAUAAGAAAAACAAAAUAUGCUUACAUGUUAUAAUUGUUUGGAAAUGAUUAGCUCAUUUCCACUUUUCUUGGGUUCCAUUCCUUGAAAGCCAGUGAAUACUAGAGCCAGUAAAAUGGUAGCUACUAAAGCGUAAACUGCUCGUUUUUCCUUCCCCGCGAGUAUAGCAUGAUGAGCCCAAGUUACGGCAGCUUCGGAUGAAAGGGGAAGGGUGGUCGAAGAUUAGUAGAAUGCGUUAGAAGGCAUUAAGGGUUAUAAAGGAGAAAGCGGACUCACUUCACGAGCCGUAAGCCCAGGGAAGCUCUUUCACCUUCUUAAUAGAUCAACUAACCUGGACCCCGUAGCUGUUCUUGUGACAUAUCCUCUUGUCAUGGCCUAAUCCUUUGCACAAUGCAGAUUGAUGUUUUUAAAUUUUUGUGACAACUCAAUACUUGAUUUAAACCUUCUUGAACCAACGUGAUUGUUUUCUUUAUAUUUCUUAUCAUUCUCCCAUCCUUUUUUGAUUGAAACAUUGGGAUCCAACAGUACAAAUUGAUAACUCUCCUCAUUACAAAUAUUUAAUUUCUUCCGAAAAGAAUCAAUAUGAGUCUUUGUUUCAAUAUUUAUGCCAUAAAUCUGCUCAGAUACUUCUUCAAUGGUUUUGAUAAGUAACUGGUAUCCUUAAUUUGUUUCGGCAGCAUGACAAGCGAGUUGAAUUGAUUUCCUCCAUAUAUGACCAAUUUUUGAUGCCUUUAUAUGUUACUCACUAUCAGUAAUCACAGUUUUUUCUGAAUUUAUACUCUUAAAUUUAUUUGUUCCUUGCAUCUUCACGAAGAGCUUGAUCAACGAUAUCCUUUUUCAUGAAAAACUUGAUCCAUUAUUUCCUUUUUGCAAAAAAGUUAAGCAAUUUUUUGGAUCCAAUGAUCCAGUUUUUCUUUUUAUGAAUUACAAUUCUUUCUUAAUAUUUUAUUGUGACAAAUACAAUAUCUUAAUAUACAUGAACAAUAAAGUUUACACUAUCAAACCUAGCAAUGUUCUUGUUAUCUGCAAAAAGUUCCGGUCAGAUAUUCUGCAGAAAAAUAAUGACAGUCAAAAAUAGAAACAUUAACAAAAAUAAAUAAAUAAAAACCGUAAAUAAGAAAUUAACGGGCAUCAAAUUGAGUAGAAAUUGAAUUUGAAGCAAAAUACAACACAGACUUGGGUAGUGCAUGAGUUGAUGGGCAUCUACAAAUAUCUUGAAAUAACUGGAUAUUCAGGAAAUACACUGAUCGAUUGACGUCCUCAUGAAUUCUUGGGCAAUUUUACCUCUAAAAAACUGAAUAUAGAAGUUUUUUAGAUUUUGUAAGAAAGUCAUUCCCAUUAUACUUGGAAUACAUUCUGGGAAAAUCAAACUUCCAUCGAAGAGAAGCAAAUGAAAGGCUUUCAUAAAAAUUCUCGUAGAAUCGAGAAUGAAGUUUUCAUUCUGUACAUGCCAGAUCAUGAAUUAGUAACUGCAUCCAAUUUCCAAAAAAAAAAAACGGACACAAGUGGGUAGGUAGAGAAUACCUAGGGGCGCGAGACAACUCUCUCUAAGGAACUCGGCAAAAUAGUCCCGUAACUUCGGGAGAAGGGGUGCCUCCUCACAAAGGGGAUCGCAGUGACCAGGCCCGGGCGACUGUUUAAGUAUGACCAUAAAUAUAUUCAUUGAAUAAAAUGCAUUUAAUUCUAUGAAACUUACAGUAAUGAGACGAUUUUUUAUGCAUGCAUAUGCUGAUAUACUACUACAUGCUGGCAGCACUUUGAGAAGGUGAAUCCAAGAAGUGAAGAUCCAACAUGAGCGAUAAGAGCCGAUCAACUAGCCAAGGUGACUUGCAUACAAACCCCAAAAUCAUAAUUCUAGAAUCUUCUCCUAAGGAUGUAGGCAAGCCAUCCUUGGCUACCAAAUAAGACUCUUUAUCUUCAUGUAAGACCUCCCUUCUUCUUCUUCUUCUUCU